UAAAAUUAAAAAAUUUGGCGGUAUUUUAGUCUAUUUAGAGGAWCCUGUUUUGAAAUUGAUAUUCCACGAUUUAUUAAAUUUAUUUUAGUAGUUUGUAUAUCGUCGUAGUUGAAUAUUUUAAAAGAAUAAAUAUUCAAAAUUUUAAUAAGAAAGAAAAUCAGAUCAAGAUGCAGCAAAUAAAUAAAAAAAAAUGGGUUACAUUAAAUGUAUUUUUGGAUUAAUAAAUGAAUAUUUAUUAUAAAAUUGGAUUUAAUAGUAAUUUUAAAUAUAUUUUUAAAAUGAUUAAAGCUCUAAAAUAUGUACAUAUUGCCCGUCGCUUUUAUUACAAAAUAAAAUAAGUCGUAACAAAGUAGAUUUACUGGAAAGUGAAUCUGGAAGA
rnacentral:rRNA from 1 species